CUGAAGCCGGGUGUUGGUGUCACACGCCUUUAAUCCCAGCACUCGGGAGGCAGAGGCAGGUGGAUCUCUGUGAGUUCGAGACCAGCCUGGUUUAUAAGAGCUAGUUCCAGGACAGCCUCCAAAGUCACAGAGAAACCCUGACUCAAAGAAAAAAAAAAAAAAAAAAAAAAAAGAAUAAGUCUCGAAACCCAAGAACAUAGAGUGACUUUCUACUUAUUUAGAUUUUCUUUGAGCAAUGGUUUAUAAUUUCCAUUGUUUAAAUCUUUCUAUCCUAAGUUAAGUUAUUCCUGGGCAUUUCUUUGUGGUUGAAAAUGGAAUUGUCUUCUUACUUUCUUUUUUCAGAUUGUUCAUUGCUGGUGUCAUUAUGGUUUUGAUUUGCAUUUUCUGAUGACUAAUAGUAGAGAGCAUCUUUUCAUAUGCUUAUCAGCCAUUCAAAUCCCUUUGCUGGUGAAGUCUGAUCUUUCUUAGUGAUUACAGAGAAUAGCUCUCUGGCUUUCCUGACACCUUUUCCCCUUCCCCUCUUCUCUGUUUUUUCUUUUCUUUCAUUCUUUUAAAAUUUCUAAGUUUUUUUUUGUUUUUUUGUUUUUUGAUGAAUGGGUAUUUGCCCUAUGUCUGUGCACACUUCUGUGUGUGGUGUUGUAGGAGUCAAAAAGGACACUGGGUCCCCUGAACUGGAGUGGCAGACAGUUGUAAAUGGUCAUGUGUGUGGGUGCUGGGGAUGGAACCUGAGUCCCAGCCUCUUCUCUUUUUUACUUUCAAGAAGUACUUAACAGACAUGGGGUGGACACUGGAGUCAGCUGCCCAGGGUGACAGUGGCAUUCCACUUAAAGGCUCUGUGGCCUUGAGCAUGUUAUUUAGCCUUUCUUUCAGGUUCAAGUUUGAAAUAAGGUUUCAUUAAUACACUAAAUUGUUUAUCACAUACUAUAGACAAGCAAAGGGCCAGUCCCAGUAGUGUUUCAUGAACAAGAGACAACCCCUAGAUGCAGACAAUCAUUCUAAAUGACGUGAAAUCCUAAUUGUGACAAAUGCCUGAGGAAGGGCUGUGUGUGAAAUCGUGGGGCAACCUGACCUGACAGAGAUAAGGGGAUCCCUAAUCCAGAACAACUCAUUGAGAAGGCUGAUGUGAGUGGACUCUUUUGAACUAAGGGUGAGUGUAGCAAAAGUUAAGCCUGGAGAAAGCAGGCAGACAGAGCCUGGUAUGGUGAUGCCCUUCCAUCAUCCCAGCACAUGGAGGUAGGAGGAGGACCAGGUCAGUGAUACAGAGCAAAUCUGAGACUAGCCUGGGCUCUGUGAGACCCUACUGCAAAAGACAGGGGUUGGGGGAGGAAGGUAGAGGGAGAAAGAGAGGGAGAGGGAGAGGGGCAAUCCAGGGAGCAGAUCCCACUGAGUGUGAAAGGUCAGUUCACAGUUCAUUAUAAGAAUAGAGAAACUGGGCUGGAGAGAUGGCUCAGAGGUUAAGAGCACCGACUGCUCUUCCAGUGGUCCUGAGUUCAAUUCCCGGCAACCACAUGGUGGCUCACAACCACCUUGAACGAGAUCUGGUGCCCUCUGCUGGCAGACAGAAGACUGUAUACAUACUAAAUGAGUAAAAUCAUUAAAAAAAAAGAGUAUAAAAAAAAUCAAGAAAAAAAUAUACGCAUGUGAAAAAUUUCUUACUAAGGGUUGUGGACAUGGCUAACUGGGUUAAAGGCAUUAGCCACCAACUCCCGAAGAAGGAUCCAAAUGUGUACACUGUCAGAUCACACACACAAUAAACGUAAUUUUAAAACUCGAAAAAAUCCUAAUAAACUCCAACAUUGCUUCAAAAGAAAGAGGAAGGAGUUGGGUGGUGGCGCACGCCUUUAAUCCCAGCACCGGGGAGACAGAGGCAGGUGGAUCCUGCGAGUUUGAGACCAGCCUGGUCUACAGAGCAAGUUCCAGGACAGUCUCCAAAGCCACAGAGAAAUCCUGUCUCGAAAAAAAAAAAAAAAAAGAAAGAAAGAAAAAAAAAGAGAGAGAAAGAAAAAGGCUCCCAGUCCAGCUGACACUGACAUAGGGAAAACUUGGUACUAUUAGCAAUGAGAGGCUUUUUUUCUUUAUUCUUUCUCCUAUAGAGAUUUGGUUGAGGCAAGAAAAAUCCAUGAGCUGGGUGUGGUCCACAUAUUUUUAAUCUCAGCACUUUUGAGGUUGAGGCAGCUGGAUCCUUGGGGGUUCUAGAGGCCAGAUUGGUCUACAUAAUGAGUUCCAGCCAGUGCUAUGGACAGAAAGAAGAGAGAGAUAGACACACACACACACACACACACAGAGAGAGAGAGAGAGAGAGAGAGAGAGAGAGAGAGAGAGAGAUCCUGUCUCACAACAACAAAAUCGUGGAAAUCCCCAGAUGACUGUUACACUGCAUGUCGUCACGUGCCUUUGUUUCUUCAAAAAGGUUCACCUUCUCAACCCAGAUCCAAUAUCCAGCCCUCGAAAAGAACAGAAAAGCUGGCAUCAGAGCUUCCAUCGGGAACUCAGGACCCCGGCCAUCUCAUAGGGUUUUCUGAGACUCACAGCUCCCUCACCGAGAAAGAGAAGGCCUGCCAGGCAGGAGCAUGGGGCUCCCGCGAAUCCUGUAGCAUCCUCGUGGAGUUCAACACCUUCCACACCGUUCCUCCACCCGGCUCAGUUAUAAAUAGCUCUCUGGUUCCCAGCCCGGGAUCUCCCAGCCUCACCAGGAGCAGCCACCGCCUCCACACCCUGAGCUGCCCUCCACCGGGAGGCGUCGGCCAGCAGAGGGCGAAAGGCGGCGGGGAGGCGGCGGCGGGGAGCGCAGGAAGCGGGUCUUCCCGGGCCUUCCCCCACGAGCCACGAUGGAAAACAGAAAAAGGAAGUCUGGAAAGAGGAAGAGGAAGAAAGACCGGUGAUAAGAUGGUUCUGCAGAAGGCAUCCGCUGCCAAGCUCCAAGACCUACCUGAACAUGAGCCCUGGGGCACGCAUGGCAGAUGAGACUCCUACAUACUGUCCUCUGAUCUCCACAUACGACACACAGAUAAAUAAAAAUGCAGUAUAAAAAUAAACAAACACAACAGCCCACAGGCUGCCUGGCUCUGGAAACCCUUUCUCUGGCGGCAAGGCUCUCAAGAUGGAUACCAGCAACAUGGAGGCUUGCCUGUCUCCACCCAACAUUAAGCCUGGACUUCAGUGACUAUGGUGCCCGUCCCUGUCCCCGACUCUUAGGGCAGAUCACCUCAGGGUACCUGUGAGUCUGGCCCAGGCUUAAGUCCCUGCAGCUGUGGUAGCAGGGCCUGCAGGGGCUUGUCGGUUCUUGCCUCAGUGGACUAAAGGCCACUGUGGAUGGGGGCAGAGGGGCCACCUCGUGGGUACUGUUGCUCACUGUGGCUGCACACCUGUGCACACCUGGCCUAGCUGUUCCUACUCCCCCACCCCGCCACCCUCCAUCUUCUCUUACAGAAUUGAAUCACUCUUGUAGGGUUCUGGGCCACAGGAACCCUAAGAGGGCUGCGGAAGCCUCGUAAGACGGUCUUUUCCUGCUUUACUUUCUCUCAAAAUUAGCAUCAUUGUCUGAGGUGGGAACUAGGACUGCAGCAAUGAGCAAGACCAAGACGGCAGUCUGGACAAACCAAGGUGCAUAGAGCUGCUAAGUGCACCGUCUGCCGAUCUGCGGGUGAGGACAGGAAAGGUUUCCCUCCGGCCAGUAGUUGGAACCACCUUAGGGGUAAAAAAAAAACUAGGAGCAUUCGCUCUGGCACGGGGUGUGAGGAAGGCGUCUGAGUAAAGGCGGGGAGUAGCGAGGGGCAGCCAGAUGCUCCUAAAAGACCAAAUCGCCAAGCGAGAGAGGGGAGGGCGGAGGCGGAGGGUGAGCGCGGCUUGGGAGUUGCGAGCGGCUAAAGGAUGUCCAGCGAUGGGGUGCUGCGUGCGCGCGAGGGGGAGAAAAGUGGGACAGAUGAAACGGAUGGCGACGACAGGCGCCUCUGACCUUACAGGGGUGGAAGGCGGCGCCGUCCCGAGGGGCUCCGGAGGCCGGCCUGGCCGGCGUUCCCCUCCUUGGCAGGGUCACGGAGCCGCGGGCUGCUCUCGGAGGCCGUGCUCCAGCCCGCGGGCAGCCUGCCAGCAGCGCCGGGAAGGAAACGCCAUGUAUGGGCUGGUGACAGAGAAGGAAACUCCUUGUAGGGCGCGG
ensembl:lncRNA